CCUGCCCCGUGAACUAAUUCAACGGCCGCGGUAUCUUGACCGUGCAAAGGUAGCAUAAUCAAUUGUUCUUUAAAUAAGGACUAGUAUGAACGGCAUCACGAGGGUUUAACUGUCUCCCUAUUUUAAUCAAUGAAAUUGAUCCCCCCGUGAAGAAGCGGGGAUAUAAUUAUAAGACGAAAAGACCCCAUGGAGCUUUAAACUUAUUUUCAAUUACCAAAACCAAAACAUACACCCGGUAAAAAUGAUAAUCGUUUUCGGUUGGGGCGACCCUGGAGAAAAACAAAUCCUCCAAGCUGAAUAAAUUAAAAUUUAAUGUUAGAGCAACAACUCAAACAAUCAAAACCUUGACAAAAUGACCCAGAAUUCAUCUGAUCAACGAACCAAGUUACCCUGGGGAUAACAGCGCAAUCCAUUUCAAGAGCCCUUAUCGACAAAUGGGUUUACGACCUCGAUGUUGAUCGGGGUAUCCUAGCAG
rnacentral:rRNA from 1 species